AAAGGAUCACAAAUUGAAAAACAAUUAAUUAAUAAAGGAUCUCAUUAAAUCGUUGUUUGAUUAUCGCUCGCUCUCUCUCUCUCUCGGCUUGCAGGGAAGAAAAGAAAGAAACCGGAAUUUUCCAGAAAACCCUAAAAUGGCAGGGAGAAAUCGCAUCCCUCGUGAACUUUAUAACGACAGGCGGGGAUUCAUCGUUGAACGACCAUUCAUUCGUGGCCAUCCGAUGCCACAGCCUGCUUUCUUGGAGGAGGAGCUUGAGAUGCAACAUGCUGAAAUCCGACGCCUCUUGGGUGAUAACCGUAGGCUGAUCGAAGAUCGUAUGGGUCUGCAGCAAGAGCUUGGCGCUGCAAAGGAAGAGCUUCAUCGAAUGAAUAUUGUGAUUGCUGAAAUUCGUGCAGAACAAGAUGUGCUUAUCAAGAAGGGAUUGAAGCUUGAGGCUGAUCUUCGUGUGACUGAGCCUUUGAAGAAUGAGACUGUACAACUCCGUGCGGAGAUUCAGAAGCUGAGUAGUUCGAAGCAGGAACUGGUUGGGCAAGUCCAAACCCUGAAACAAGAUGUUGCGAGACUGCAAGCUGAUAAUCACCAAAUUCCUCUUUUACGGGGUGAGAUUGAGGGCUUGCACCAGGAGCUAAUGCAUACUAGAGCUGCAAUUGAAUAUGAAAAGAAGGCCAACAUUGAGUUGGUGGAGCAGAGACAAUCAAUGGAGAAGAAUUUGGUUUCCAUGGCACGUGAAGUUGAAAAGCUACGUGUAGAGCUUUCUAGUUCUGAUAAUCGACCACCCUGGAGUGCUGCUGCUGAUGAAAGACUGAUUCUUAGUGUGACAAAGGUUAAGAAAGUUUUUGAAUCUCUUUGGUACUAGUCACUUCCCUCCCAUCCCAUCAGGAAGUUUGAAAAUGCAACGCCAAUCAGGGAGGUACCGUGGAGACUAAAGCAUCAUGGUGGGCAAGAAGUCAGUAUCCAUUCUCAGGUGAAGGAGACGAGAAGGGAGAAGGGAAUCCUCGAGGGGAUUGUCCCGCUCUAACACGUUAUACUAUCAUUGAAUCUAGUCAAAUACUUCAUUUUCGUUCUUCUUCUCAAGUGUUGUAGAAAAGAAAGAAAUUAACUCUUAACAGCUUCAGGUUGGACAGAGGCCGCCAGCAGGAAUCAAAAGCAACUUCUCCAGAACCUGGCACAUAAUUUGGUCGAGAAUAAUUCCUUAAUCCUGCCUUCUUGAGCAACAAUUCUAGAUGCUAAUAUUGUUCUCACGAAAUCAAGACUUGGUAUCUGUUCGGUCAAUUUUUAUAGCAGAGUUGUGCACUAUUUUGAGAAUGGUUUUACAUGUUGAGUUCGCACAAGGCCUCAUGUUCCACUAUCUCAGAAGUGUGAACAAUACGUGAAGGAUGUGUGGUGGGUUACAAAAAUUGCCUUGCUUCUAUUCUAGAUGUCAACGGCCGAGUGCUAACUUUUUAGCAUCCCUAACAAUAACAUAAUGUAUCACUUGCUGGCUUGCUUGACAGACCUGGCAUACUAGUUCAUCUCUUCAUCUA